AGUGAACGCUGGCGGCAUGCCUUACACAUGCAAGUCGAACGGCAGCACGGGUGCUUGCACCUGGUGGCGAGUGGCGAACGGGUGAGUAAUACAUCGGAACAUGUCCUGUAGUGGGGGAUAGCCCGGCGAAAGCCGGAUUAAUACCGCAUACGAUCUACGGAUGAAAGCGGGGGACCUUCGGGCCUCGCGCUAUAGGGUUGGCCGAUGGCUGAUUAGCUAGUUGGUGGGGUAAAGGCCUACCAAGGCGACGAUCAGUAGCUGGUCUGAGAGGACGACCAGCCACACUGGGACUGAGACACGGCCCAGACUCCUACGGGAGGCAGCAGUGGGGAAUUUUGGACAAUGGGCGAAAGCCUGAUCCAGCAAUGCCGCGUGUGUGAAGAAGGCCUUCGGGUUGUAAAGCACUUUUGUCCGGAAAGAAAUCCUUGGCUCUAAUACAGUCGGGGGAUGACGGUACCGGAAGAAUAAGCACCGGCUAACUACGUG
rnacentral:rRNA from 1 species